UCUGCCUGUUCUUUCAGUGUAUCGUGGCAUGGAGAAUCCUUCCAUGGGCUAGGGGUUCAGGGUGCUGAGGUUUUAGCUCACCCUAGUGCUUUACCUCAACUGAACAUGUCUCCGGCAUCUCAGCAAGGUCCUUGAUUCAUGGAGUUCACGCCAUCUGUGUCUGUGUCCCAGUCCUCAUUUUGGAUCCUCUAAUCUAAGUCUUAAUGUGUGUACAGGGAGUCCAUCUUCUGCAUCCAGUACAACAUCCGCUCUUUCAUGAAUGUCAAGCACUGGCCUUGGAUGAACCUGUUUUUCAGGAUCAAGCCCUUGCUAAAGAGUGCAGAGGCUGAGAAGGAGAUGGCCACCAUGAAGGAAGACUUUGAGAAGACCAAGGAAGAAUUGGCUAGAUCUGAGGCUUGCCGAGAGGAACUGGAGGAGAAAAUGGUCUCUUUCCUACAGGAAAAGAGUGACCUUCAGUUACAGGCAUCCAUUGGAGUUUGGGGACGUGUCUCUCAUGGAUAAGGGGACUACUGUAUGCAACACCCUGACUUGGUACAGCACUGACCAGUGAUUAUACUGUGCAUGGCAGUUGUAGCCGAUACAUCAAUAAUCUGAUAGGACCGUUCGCUCUCAUCGUGUUGCCAAAGUAAGGAUGCCAGCCGUUGGAUUAGUACCCAUGGUAAUCCAGUGUGAUCUCAUCUUCGUCACAUCUGGAGAGACCCUGUCUCCAGCUGGGGUCACAUUCUGAGAAGAGGAUGGACAUAAGCUUGGGGGAGAAGACAUGACUCAACCCCAGGGAGGGAAUCAUCAUGUCCUGCUCUAUGAAGACAACACAGGUACAAAACUGACACAGGACAAGGUGGGACAUGGAGAAAUUGGGAGGCCUCGUGGGGCAGGGUUGUCCAAGCCAUCACUUUGCAUUUCCCCUUUGGUUAGGAGCACACAUGUCCAUCAGUGGGUCUACCUUAACAGUUCCUGCAUUUUCAGAU